rnacentral:rRNA from 1 species
GCCUAACACAUGCAAGUCGAACGCCCGUAGCAAUACGGGAGUGGCGCACGGGUGAGUAACGCGUGGGAACCUACCCUUUGGUUCGGGACAACCCAGGGAAACUUGGGCUAAUACCGGAUGAGCUGGCCGGGCAACUGGUCAGGAAAGAUUCAUCGCCGAAGGCGGGGCCCGCGUCGGAUUAGGUAGUUGGUGAGGUAACGGCUCACCAAGCCUGCGAUCCGUAGCCGGUCUGAGAGGAUGAUCGGCCACACUGGGACUGAGACACGGCCCAGACUCCUACGGGAGGCAGCAGUGGGGAAUAUUGGACAAUGGGGGCAACCCUGAUCCAGCCAUGCCGCGUGGGUGAUGAAGGCCUUAGGGUUGUAAAGCCCUUUCGCGCGCGACGAUGAUGACGGUAGCGCGAGAAGAAGCCUCGGCUAACUCCGUGCCAGCAGCCGCGGUAAU